AGAGUUUGAUCCUGGCUCAGGACGAACGCUGGCGGCGUGCCUAACACAUGCAAGUCGAGCGGGGAGAGAUUUUCGGAUUUCUCUUUAGCGGCGGACGGGUGAGUAACACGUGGGUAACCUGCCUCAAAGUGGGGGAUAGCCUUCCGAAAGGAAGAUUAAUACCGCAUAAUAUCAGAGCACUGCAUGGUGCUGUGAUUAAAGGAGCAAUCCGCUUUGAGAUGGACCCGCGGCGCAUUAGCUAGUUGGUGAGGUAACGGCCCACCAAGGCGACGAUGCGUAGCCGACCUUGAGAGGGUGAUCGGCCACAUUGGAACUGAGACACGGUCCAGACUCCUACGGGAGGCAGCAGUGGGGAAUAUUGCACAAUGGGGGAAACCCUGAUGCAGCAACGCCGCGUGAGUGAUGAAGGCCUUCGGGUCGUAAAGCUCUUUGAUCAGGGACGAUAAUGACGGUACCUGAAAAACAAGCCACGGCUAACUACGUGCCAGCAGCCGCGGUAAUACGUAGGUGGGCGAGCGUUGUCCGGAUUUACUGGGCGUAAGGAAUGCGUAGGGGGAUAUUUAAAGUGGGA
rnacentral:rRNA from 1 species